rnacentral:lncRNA from 1 species
CAACCUUCCGGAUCAAUCACCAUCCUCGUGAUGAUCUUAUGGUCAAGAGCUGUUUAUGAGUUAGUUAUGUAAAUUCAUGCCUUAAAUUUUCAACUCUUGAAAAUAUGAAUUUAUAUUCCCACUAACUCAAAGGAUGUAUCACAGGCACAAUGUACAUAAUGUGAUAGAAGAAUAACCCUUUUAUUCAUUUAUAGUCAAAAUUAUAAAUUUGCCCU